GACGGAAGGUGCAAGCGUUGCUCGGAAUCACUGGGCGUAAAGGGUGCGUAGGCGGCUUCUUAAGUCUGGUGUGAAAGCCCAGGGCUCAGCUCUGGAAGCGCACUAGAAACUGAGGAGCUUGAGUACCGGAGGGGAGAGUGGAAUUCCUGGUGUAGCGGUGAAAUGCGUAGAUAUCAGGAGGAAUACCGGUGGCGAAAGCGACUCUCUGGACGGUUACUGACGCUGAGGCACGAAAGCGUGGGGAGCAAACAGG
rnacentral:rRNA from 1 species